rnacentral:lncRNA from 1 species
GGCCGAUUCAGUCACGGUUCGGGGCUGGUCGUGUCGUGCACGUAUGGUCGUUUCGCAGCGCUCGCUCGCUUAGCUCUUGGCACGUUUAGUCAGUCAGUAAGUCACCUCCGCAGUCAGUUACGGGACGCAGGAUGCAGUGUGAGAGUAUGCUGCUGCUGCUCGGGAUUCUCUAAUGACGGAAGCGUGGAUAUUCAGCACACAUUCUUGGCUUAAUCCAGCGGUUGCGGUGACUCGGUUAACUCGGUGCGUGAUUCGGUUUUACGACUACGUUACGUAUUCUUCGCAUUCUCUGGUGAAGGUGGAGUAGCUUAGAGUGAGAGGAAGUCGAAUCCAGUUCGGUGAUUUCAUGUUUGUGUCGUCGAUGGUGAAGUGAUCCGAGUAAAUACUCUGCUGAAUAUUCAUGAUUGCAUUAAUUGACCAACAAGUUCGUCGUCGUCAUCGUCGAGCCAAUCAAGGUGAAAGUGUUGCGCGGAGAAGAUGCUGGGGGUAGUAGUUGUGGAGAAGACCCGGAAAAUAUUUGUGUUUCAUCGAGCGUAACAAGUGAGAAUUAAUUGGAAACGAAACUCGCGCGCGUGUGAGUGUGUUGUGAUGGACCAUUCCGCGGUCCACUGAUAAUAAUGUGCAGAAUCUGAAUAUCUAACGUCACGUGGCCAUUGGGUGUAUUUGUUCUGAUUCCGAAAAGAAGAGACCACAGCACCCCCGGAAGAGAAGUCGCUGAAUAAACGGAUUAUACGGAAAAUUUGAAAAUUUCCCACCUCGUAACGGGCAUCAAUCAUCGUGGUUUGUGUGCCAGCCAGCUGAACCCAUCUGUGUCAGGAGAUCCAGAGCAGUGUGAGAAAUUCGUGUGUGCGAUUUGGAGUGAGGGAAAAAUACCGGGGAAAAGCGUUUCCGUGCUUCCGGUUGAAUCAUCGGCAGCAGCAAGCAACGGUCGUGUCCUUCUUCUAGUGGGACCAGGGAUCAUGGAUCAAAUUCACGCCUCGUCAAGUUCCACAUUCUGCUACCGAUUGCCGUCGCCGUCGUCGUUCAGAAUCCGGUAGGACGCGAGUAACGAAGAAGAAGAAGAAUAAAGGCCACCCUACUUCACAUACUAAACACGCAGGUGGAUUUCCAUCCGGCAACGGGUUGCUCUAAUGGUACGUCGUCGUUGAUACUCGUGGUAUCCCAAGUGGAGUAGUGAUUGUAUUUCGGUGUCUGUGUGUGUAAGUGUGCUGUACAGUACCUCUAGUGUCAGAGGAAGAAGAGUACAACCAUCAGGAUGGAUUAUAGAACCCGGCGAGGAGGUGGCAGCGUUCCACCGAUCCAGCUAUUGUGACGGGAUUUUAUCCGGAACAGGUAAAUGGGGAUUUAUGGGGAUAUGACUUCUUUUCUAUUGCGGGGGGAGUGGGAAGGAUGGAUGGGUGGAAGGUGUCAGUUAGAUGUGUGUAGAAUCAGGAUAAUAGACCGAUUGAGUGGGAUGCGGGUUAUGGCAGUGGCACUGCGCACGGAAGAGGAUUGUUUUCUAUGCUAGAAUCGAUUAUUUGAGACACUGCUGAAUUCCGUGUUGAUUUUUGUAGAAAUGAUUUUUUUUUUUAUAUUCAGAAUACCUAACUAAGAGCAAAAAAAAGGCACUUUAACUAUUGCAA